GAAUUCACUAGUGAUUGGCCUAACACAUGCAAGUCGACCGGUAACAGGAAACAGCUUGCUGUUUCGCUGACGAGUGGCGGACGGGUGAGUAAUGUUUGGGAAACUGCCUGAUGGAGGGGGAUAACUACUGGAAACGGUAGCUAAUACCGCAUAACGUCGCAAGACCAAAGAGGGGGACCUUCGGGCCUCUUGCCAUCGGAUGUGCCCAGAUGGGAUUAGCUAGUAGGUGGGGUAACGGCUCACCUAGGCGACGAUCCCUAGCUGGUCUGAGAGGAUGACCAGCCACACUGGAACUGAGACACGGUCCAGACUCCUACGGGAGGCAGCAGUGGGGAAUAUUGCACAAUGGGCGCAAGCCUGAUGCAGCCAAGGGGCGUGUAUGAAGAAGGCCUUCGGGUGUAAACUAAAUUGAGCGGGGAGGAAGGGAGUAAAGUUAAUAC
rnacentral:rRNA from 1 species